GAAAGAAAAGGUGAACGAAUGUGACUUUUUUUAUUUUGAAGUUUAACAUGAAAAGAAUAUAAUUAUGAUAAAUGUGAUAAAUGAAAAAGGAAGAAAAGGAAAAGUUUGAAGAAAAAAGGAAAAAGAAAGAAAAGCUGAACGAAUGUGACUUUUUUUAUUUUGAAGUUUAACAUGAAAAGAAUAUAAUUAUGAUAAAUGUGAUAAAUGAAAAAGGAAGGAAAGGAAAAGUUUGAAGAAAAAAAGAAAGAGAAAGAAAAGGAAGGAAUGUGACUUUUUUUAUUUUGAAGUUUAACAUGAAAAGAAUAUAAUUAUGAUAAAUGUGAUAAAUGAAAAAGGGAAGGAAAGGAAAAGUUUGAAGAAAAAAAGAAAAAGAAAGAAAAGGUGAACGAAUGUGACUUUUUUUAUUUUGAAGUUUAACAUGAAAAGAAUAUAAUUAUGAUAAAUGUGAUAAAUGAAAAAGGGAAGAAAAGGAAAAGUUUGAGAAAAGAAAAAGAA